CUGUUUCAACCUGUUGUGGACAAAUCCAGUGAAUAUGUGUAUCAAUCGCUCCAGCCGUCAAAAUUUGGCCUUCACCAGCAAUAACUUCGGUCGCAGCACCUAAAGGAAUACUAAUAUCGGGUUGAAUGUCUGGAUUACCGGCUUUACCAAUUUUCCAGAUACGUCCGUUUUUUAGACCAACAUCGGCUUUAAUAAUUCCCCACCAAUCGACAAUUAAAGCAUUGGUAAUCACCGUAUCUGCCACUUCAUUGGCCAGCAUUUGUGAUUGCCCCAUACCAUCACGA
rnacentral:sRNA from 1 species